CAAGCGUUGUUCGGAAUUACUGGGCGUAAAGGGCGCGUAGGCGGCCUUCUAAGUCGAACGUGAAAUCCCCGGGCUCAACCCGGGAACUGCGUCCGAUACUGGAAGGCUUGAAUCCGGGAGAGGGAUGUGGAAUUCCAGGUGUAGCGGUGAAAUGCGUAGAUAUCUGGAGGAACACCGGUGGCGAAGGCGGCAUCCUGGACCGGUAUUGACGCUGAGGCGCGAAAGCCAGGGGAGCAAACGGG
rnacentral:rRNA from 1 species